GAUGAAGAACGCAGCGAAUCGCGAUAAGUAAUGUGAAUUGCAGAUUUUCCGUGAAUCAUCGAAUCUUUGAACGCACCUUGCGCUCCUUGGUAUUCCGAGGAGCAUGCCUGUUUGAGUGUCAUCGAAACCUCGGAUCGACGCUUCGACCCCGUCGAAGCUCGGUUCGGACUGUGGGAGUCUGCCGGCGAAGCGUGACUUCGUCGGCUCCCCUCAAAAGCAUUAGCUGUGGGUGGCGAGCCUGGCAUGGCACGGCCUGUUCGACGUCGUAGUGAUCGUCGGGGGCUGGAAGUGUAUGGCUCGACGUGACCCAUGCUUCUCGAGUCUUGCGAGCCCGUCCCUCUGUGGGACGGCCGCGCCCCAUCGAAGCUUGACCUCAAAUCAGGUAGGACUACCCGCCGAACUUAAGCAUAUCAAUAAGCGGAGGA
rnacentral:misc_RNA from 1 species